UGCACAUCUCACCCCUCACCUUUUUCUCCGAAAUCAGCUCCUCUAACCUACCAAUUGAAAGUCGCGGAUAAACAGUACCCCUAAAUAUCAUUUUAUGUUUCGAUGAAUAAUAAUUCGCAGUAAAUCACUGUUCUCUCACUGUUUGCGGCCCGUGACUUUCCUCUGGUAAGUCGGAGGAGCCGGUUCCCUUUUCUACACACUAGUGGCGGCGGCUCCUGCGAACCGGUGGCGCCUCCUGUUCGUCCCGACGCGGCGUGAUUCCCAGAUUGACGGCGAGGGGCCGGUGGCGCGGGGCGCAGGCGGGUGAGGAGCCGGGGUAGGCGGGCGGAAGCCAAGGCAGGCGGAGCGGGUAGCGCGGUGGUCAGGCGGGCGGCGAGCCAGCGAGCCAGGGCUGGCGGGGCGGGCAGCGAGCCAGGGCAGGCGGGGCGGGCGGUGAGCCGGAACGCGGCACCGCUGAAGCUGCUGCUGCGGGACCGCAUCGACGGGCUGCUCGACCCCGACGCAUCCUUCCUCAAUCUCUUUCAGGAAGAGUGAUGUGGGAAUCAGAGAAGGGGGAGCUCGCAACAUGGUGUAUUGUGCUGGUGUUUUGCAAUGGAGACAAGUUUGUUUUA